CAAAUACUCCCUCCGUCCGGAAAUACUUGUCGGAGGAAUGGAUAUAUCUACACAUAUCUUAGUUAUAGAUAUAUUCAUUUUUAUCCAUUUCUUCGACAAAUACAUCCAUUCCUUCGACAAAUAUUUUCGAACGGAGGGAGUAUAAG
rnacentral:pre_miRNA from 1 species